UCCUGUUUGCCUCAGAGAUUCUCCAGAUCUUAGUUAAGAGAUGGGGCUGGCAGUAGGAGGUAGAGGUUGCCUUGUGUUUGUACAGAUGGAAGUUGUUGAUUUGGGGCAGAUGGAAGAUUCCUGACCUAGCCUCUUGCCACAUUCUUGCAGGGGUCCUGCUGUGCCCAGCAGGGGAUGGAAGGCACAAGGCAUGGGGUUAGAAGAACAUUAGACUCCUUUUCUCAACUGAAGAAGCUGAUGAAGAGUGGGUAGCAGGAGGUGGUAGACUCCCAUGGAGAGGGAAGUCCUUUGGGGCAGAUGAAGAUGCCUGAUCCCUUGCCACCUUCCCUCAAAGGACACAAUGACCACUGUAUUUAAUUUUCCUCCAACUUGUUUUUCUUGUUUUUGUGCCUUUUCAUUUCCUUCAUUCCUGCAUAUAUUGAAUGUAAGAAGUAAAAAUAAAUCAUUGCAAGUGGCAAAGGAUGCCCAGGUCCGGGUUGGAGUCAAGGGUCAACCGUGGGUCAAUUUCUCUUUUAUUUUCCUGUGAGUCCCUUAAGGUUAAUUUUAUUCCUGCACUCUUUCAUUCUUAGGAGCACUCCCAGGAAGAGUUUAGCAGUCUAACGCCUGUGCACAGAUGUCCUGUCACAGCUGGCACCAUUACAAAGAUCAUUCCAGUGAAGAGCUGUGCAAUCUCCCUUUUCUGGACAAAUUUCAAUUUGAAAAGCUCACUUAUUUCAGAAAGGAUUAUAUUAACCUGGAAGAUUUCAGAAGUCACCCUCAGGUUCACUGUUGCAACCAUCCCACUUCUCUUUGAAAAGGACGGAGAUACCCUGAAAGAUUUGAGAAGGGGCCCCCUCAUCCACAAAUGUCCUCAGGUUUAUUCCCAGGAAGAGCGGAGGAACUUUCCCCUUAUGGACAGAUUUCAUUUUGACAAGGUCACUGUUUCUUUUCAAAAGUCAAAGAGCUGAGAAUGAAUGAGGUCAUGUGACUUGGCCUUCUUGACAUGUCUGGAUUUAGUAAUAUCCUGGAAGAUUUGAGGAGUCACCCUCUUGUUUACAAGUUUCCUCAUGGAAAUAUCCCUCUUCCUUUUGAAAGGUGUGAUUGUCUGCAUUAUUAUGAAGCUAAUAGUUCACCUUUCAAGGGGGAUACCAUAUACUGCCCAAAGGGAGUGUAAUCUGGAAACUACUGCCGGUGGAUACUGGGGCCUGGGAAAGAUUGAGGGAAUGACCUUGGCAUCACCUAAGGGAGGAUUCUCUUGACUUAAUUUCACCAUUGUGCUAUUCCUUUAUGAUUAGAUUUGAGUAAAAUUACCUAGGAAUCUCUGCAAGUGCCUUGGAAUCAGAGAAGCAAACCCACUGGAAAGAGUCACUUCAGAGCUGCCCUGGGAAUGAGACCUAUUCUCCAAUGUCCAAGGGAAGAUGUUGCCAGGGACAAGACAAAAACAUGGGACAUCUGGGACUCAAGUUGAAAUGUACUGAUUAACUGAAUAUUGAGAGUUGGUUACAAGGAGAAUUGAUCCUAUUUAACAUUGAUGAUCAUUCUUGUAUUAUUUUGGUCUUUUGUUUCAUGGUAUUUAUAUUUACUGAGUUUUCUUGGUGACCUUGCUAAUGUGUAAAUCUCCCUUCUAAAAUUAGUACAUGACGAGCCCUCUCAAUGGCUUAACUUGCCUAAGUUGACAUACAGAGCUUAUUUAACAAGGUUUGUCUCCUUGGGAGAUACAUGAGAUUAUGAUUCUAUACCUAAGAUUAUUUGACUUUAUGGCAUUGAUGGAAACAUGGGAUUAUGAUUUGUGAUCCUCAUGAUGACAGUACACUUGUUUCCUGUUGUAAGUUUAAGUCCCCUAGCUUAUAGCCACAGAUGCUUGCUCAAAAUGAUGUGGCAUGAGUAGCAGAGACCAGGAUGAUGCAGUUGAGGAUAAAGGAGUGAGAUGAAACCAGUUGUGCUGCUGUACCAUAUAUAUGGUUAGCACCAAAUGGGAGAAUUAUUGAAAGUUAUGCUGACUUGAUGACAUAUUGUUCCCAGUCCUGCUUGUCAAUCACUGUUGGGGGAGGCAUCACCCUAACAGUUGCAGCUUUUGUAUUGUUACCUGCUAUCUUCACAUAUCAGGUCAUCUACUAACUGUUAGCUUGCAUGUACUGGCAGUUGGAGAGGAGCUGAGAUGCAAUGUCCCAUCCCCUUUUGCUAAUGCAGACCUAUUAGAAAUGUCUUUAUCUUGUUGUGAAAGUUAUCAACAAAAACUGUCUCCAUCUUGAAUCCCUGGCUGAUGUCUUAGUGAUCAACUUGUUAACAUGUUACUUCCUAGAUGCACUUUUAAUAAACUGCUUUAAAUUCUCUUUU